rnacentral:rRNA from 1 species
GGUUACUGCUAUCGGUGUUCGCCUAAGCCAUGCGAGUCAUAUGUAGCAAUACAUGGCGUACUGCUCAGUAACACGUGGAUAACCUGCCCUUGGGUCCGGCAUAACCCCGGGAAACUGGGGAUAAUUCCGGAUAACGCAUAUAUGCUGGAAUGCUUUCUGCGUAAAAUGGAUUCGUCUGCCCAAGGAUGAGUCUGCGGCCUAUCAGGUAGUAGUGGGUGUAAUGUACCUACUAGCCUACGACGGGUACGGGUUGUGAGAGCAAGAGCCCGGAGAUGGAUUCUGAGACAUGAAUCCAGGCCCUACGGGGCGCAGCAGGCGCGAAAACUUUACAAUGCGGGAAACCGUGAUAAGGGGACACCGAGUGCCAGCAUCCUAUGCUGGCUGUCCGGGUGUGUAAAAUACACCUGUUAGCAAGGGCCGGGCAAGACCGGUGCCAGCCGCCGCGGUAACACCGGCGGCCCGAGUGGUGAUCGUGAUUAUUGGGUCUAAAGGGUCCGUAGCCGGUUUGGUCAGUCCUCCGGGAAAUCUGACAGCUCAACUGUUAGGCUUUCGGAGGAUACUGCCAGACUUGGAACCGGGAGAGGUAAGAGGUACUACAGGGGUAGGAGUGAAAUCUUGUAAUCCCUGUGGGACCACCUGUGGCGAAGGCGUCUUACCAGAACGGGUUCGACGGUGAGGGACGAAAGCUGGGGGCACGAACCGGAUUAGAUACCCGGGUAGUCCCAGCCGUAAACGAUGCUCGCUAGGUGUCAGGCAUGGCGCGACCGUGUCUGGUGCCGCAGGGAAGCCGCGAAGCGAGCCACCUGGGAAGUACGGCCGCAAGGCUGAAACUUAA